rnacentral:rRNA from 1 species
AGCGAACGCUGGCGGCAUGCUUAACACAUGCAAGUCGCGCGGGUGGUUUCGGCCAUCAGCGGCGGACGGGUGAGUAUCGCGUAGGAAUGUAUCCCGAGGUGGGGGACAACCCUGGGAAACUGGGGCUAAUACCGCAUGGGGCCUGUGGGUCAAAGCCUUAGGGCGCCUUGGGAGCAGCCUGCGUCCGAUUAGGUAGUUGGUGGGGUAAAGGCCUACCAAGCCUGCGAUCGGUAGCUGGUCUGAGAGGACGAUCAGCCACACUGGGAGUGAGACACGGCCCAGACUCCUACGGGAGGCAGCAGUGGGGAAUAUUGGAAAAUGGGCGCAAGCCUGAUCCAGCAAUGCCGCGUGGGUGAAGAAGGUCUUCGGAUUGUAAAGCCCUUUCGGCGGGGACGAUGAUGACGGUACCCGCAGAAGAAGCCCCGGCUAACUUCGUG